UGGGGAAUAUUGGACAAUGGGCGCAAGCCUGAUCCAGCCAUGCCGCGUGAGUGAUGAAGGCCCUAGGGUUGUAAAGCUCUUUCACCGGUGAAGAUAAUGACGGUAACCGGAGAAGAAGCCCCGGCUAACUUCGUGCCAGCAGCCGCGGUAAUACGAAGGGGGCUAGCGUUGUUCGGAUUUACUGGGCGUAAAGCGCACGUAGGCGGACUUUUAAGUCAGGGGUGAAAUCCCGGGGCUCAACCCCGGAACUGCCUUUGAUACUGGAAGUCUUGAGUAUGGUAGAGGUGAGGGGAAUUCCGAGUGUAGAGGUGAAAUUCGUAGAUAUUCGGAGGAACACCAGUGGCGAAGGCGGCUCACUGGACCAUUACUGACGCUGAGGUGCGAAAGCGUGGGGAGCAAACAGG
rnacentral:rRNA from 1 species